CGCGCACGCCCCGCCCCUCGCGUCCGGAGCUUCCGCGCUCGCACUUUCAACACUCUUCUUAAUUCCUUUCAAGGCCCCAACCGACCCUCUUUAGAAAAAAAGAAGAGAGCGAAGGAGAGAGUUGUAAAGGCUGUAUUAAUAUGCUAACAGCUGUAGCCCUUAGAUGAUCCUUUAGCUGGGAAAAAAGUAUGGUGAGUGAACUAUUCCAACACUUAAAUCAAAUAUUCCAGUGAAUUUGCUUCAUCUACGAUGCUGAUAAUUCUUUAUGAAGACCGAAAAUGUUACCCAGAAGUUAAAUUAUAUGCUGCAUUGAAAAGGAAAUACUGUACCUCAGAGAGGCCGGGACAGGAAUUGGAUAGACAUGGAUUGUCUCCUUAUCCUGGAAGAUGCCUGUCUGUAUGAAAUCAUUACCUGGAUCCUUGUUGAGAGCACGGUCUCUAUCUGAUUUCUGCCUCCAGCUUCUCGCUUCCAUACUUCCCUGCUUGAGGGCUUAGGAACCAUCCUGCUGCUUCAGUGUGCCACUGGCAUGGAAAUAUCAG